rnacentral:rRNA from 1 species
UACGAAGGGUGCAAGCGUUACUCGGAAUUACUGGGCGUAAAGCGUGCGUAGGCGGUUUGUUAAGUCCGUUGUGAAAGCCCUGGGCUCAACCUGGGAAUUGCAGUGGAUACUGGCGAGCUAGAGUGCGGUAGAGGAUGGUGGAAUUCCCGGUGUAGCGGUGAAAUGCGUAGAGAUCGGGAGGAACGCCCGUGGCGAAAGCGAGCUCCUGGACGUUUUUCUGACGCUGAGA